rnacentral:rRNA from 1 species
GACGUAGGGUGCAAGCGUUGUCCGGAUUUAUUGGGCGUAAAGAGCUCGUAGGCGGCUCGUCGCGUCGGCUGUGAAAACUCGGGGCUUAACCUCGGGCUUGCAGUCGAUACGGGCGGGCUGGAGUUCGGUAGGGGAGACUGGAAUUCCUGGUGUAGCGGUGAAAUGCGCAGAUAUCAGGAGGAACACCGGUGGCGAAGGCGGGUCUCUGGGCCGAUACUGACGCUGAGGAGCGAAAGCGUGGGGAGCGAACAGG